GAUAGAGAAUCCCAUUGUUAUUAAAAAGACGUACUUUGUAUUCUCUGUUUCCAUUGAGGAUUCCAUGGCAAAGCUAUAUGUAAAUACAGAAAGCUAAACGAAUAAUGCGAAAGGCAAAAAAAAAAAAAAAAAGCCCAACAAAUUGAUCUGUAAUCCUCUGUCGGGACAGAUUACGCUCAACAGCUGCUUCACCUUCUGCGAAAUCUUUA